rnacentral:rRNA from 1 species
UACGUAGGAGGCAAGCGUUGUCCGGAAUCACUGGGCGUAAAGCGUGUGUAGGCGGAUCGCUAAGUCUGUGGUGAAAGCGCCUGGCUUAACCGGGCGAGGUCCAUGGAAACUAGCGGUCUGGAGGCCGGUAGAGGGGGGUGGAAUUCCGGGUGUAGUGGUGAAAUGCGUAGAGAUCCGGAGGAACACCAGUGGCGAAGGCGGCCCCCUGGGCCGCGCCUGACGCUGAGACGCGAAAGCGCGGGGAGCGAACGGG